AACGAACGCUGGCGGCAUGCCUAACACAUGCAAGUCGAACGAGACCUUCGGGUCUAGUGGCGCACGGGUGCGUAACGCGUGGGAACCUGCCCUUAGGUUCGGAAUAACUCCCCGAAAGGGGUGCUAAUACCGGAUAAUGUCUUCGGACCAAAGAUUUAUCGACUUUGGAUGGGCCCGAGUUGGAUUAGCUAGUUGGUAGGGUAAAAGCCUACCAAGGCGACGAUCCAUAGCUGGUCUGAGAGAAUGAUCACCCACACUGGGACUGAGACACGGCCCAGACUCCUACGGGAGGCAGCAGUGGGGAAUAUUGGACAAUGGGCGAAAGCCUGAUCCAGCAAGGCCGCGUGAGUGAUGAAGGCCGUAGGGUUGUAAAGCUCUAUUAACUGGGAUGAUAAUGACAGUACCGGGAGAAUAAGCCCCGGCUAACUCCGUG
rnacentral:rRNA from 1 species